CAGUUCAAUACACAACUAUUAGCCUCUGUCAGACUGAUUAAACAAUUGAAGAUGAAGAGUGAAGAUGUCUGGACUGAGAGAGAGAGAGAGAGAUGCUAGACCUCAAACGACUCGCUCGUCUGCUCUCUCACCACCAUUCCAUUGCUUUUCAGUCAUCUAUUCAUCUGCUACCCCUCCCUCUACCUCUCGUUCGCUCCUGGACUAUGUUUGAUUCAUGCCAGAGAUGAUUCACACUCCACCAUAUCCGGCAUGAGGGAACCCUCACUCUCCAUCCAUAAUUCAGAACCCCUCUCUCUCUCUGUCGAUGCAUCGGGCAGAAGAUCGUGCCGUAUAUAAGGGGGGGAUCUGUGAAAGCACACAGCUGGCACCCCAGAGCUGAUAAGGAACCUGACACAGCAUUUCGUGCACUAGCUUAACAUCGAACCUUAUAACCAUGACCAUAAACACACCUCUGUAAACAGACCAAGGCUGCAAAGAUAUUCAUAUUCUGCCUCACUGCAGAACAAUCAACAUUGGAGCAGCUUGUAGGUGGCACAUGUGAUGAAAUAAUGAGGAAGUCAUGUUUUGGAUCAAAAAUGCUUUGCAUUUUCAUCACUGUGAUUUUCUCUCAGGUCUGUCAGAGGCUGGACACACAAAUAGCUCAAGGCACCGAAGAUCGCACUGCAGUUUUUCCUGUAACUAGUAGAUUGAUGGAAAGAACACUGUAUGUUUCAGCAUGUGUUUUCACACAGCGACAGAACUCAUACACCUCGGUUGGUUAUUUUAAGAGUCAUUAUGUAGUUAAUCAUGGAGCAGGAAAGUGACUUAACAGCUGUUUCAUGUGCAGCAAGGCUACAGAGUGUUUCUCAUGAAAUACAAGCCAGCUGAUGAAUGUUCUUUACUUGUUAAAUAUCUUUCUAUCUGUCUGUCUGUCUGUCUGCUUUUUCAUUUACUCAUAGCUUUUUUUAAGCCUUCGUGUUUUAUAAUGAAGGAUGCACAUUAGGUCAUUCAUGUUUGUUUGUAUAAUUUAUCAUCUUUGUUUUGCCACAGAUAAUGAUGGGAAUUUUGGCACACAAAUCUGGUUAAACACCCUAAUGUGUAAAAAAAAAAAACAUGGUAACACUCAUUAACUUUACAGGUGUUACAGGUGACUGUCAACAGAGAAGCCUUCUAGCAACCAAACUGUGGGGGUUGAAUGAUGCUGUGCAACUGUGCAUUUGUUCUGUAGUCGUACAAUUAUCAACAAAGAAAACAAUUUACCGUGUUUUGAACACCUGUUACUGCAAACUUUGUUGAACAGGGGCCUGUUCUUCGUGUCUCACUAAAUACAUCUGAGUUGAUUUGAAAGAUGCCAGAUCUUCUAAUCUUGAUAACUGAUCUCUGGCUAAUUUGGUUCUUCAAACGGAUUUGCGGAUUUGAUUAAAAUAUCUGGAUUAAGUUGUCUAAGAUUACUGUGCAAGUGUGCGUUCUCGUGUUCCCCGUAAAGGGCAGAUGUAUUGAUACUCAAAACCACAAUCAGCAAUGCAGCAAUUGGCUGGUGGCAAGACAGCUAAUUAAUGAAAUCAUAUAAUUAAAAAAGCGACCCGACACAAAGCUUGAAAAAUUUCUGGACCUUUAUAAGAAAACAGCCAAGUGAACAAAACUAGAUGAAUGAAAUGUGCACUGUUUUUAUUUUAUUUAUUUUAUAUAUAUUUUUGCAUGAUUCCCAAUUAUUUAUAUUCACAAUUACUAGUAUUUGUACAAGCUUUACAUUUUUAGUUCAGUGUUGUAAUAAGCAAUUCAUGUAAUUUUAUCUUUGAAGCAGACUUGUUAUGUGA